CCCUUAGAUGUCCUGGGCCGCACGCGCGCUACACUGACAUGUUCAACAAGCCUCCUAGUUCGACAGGAUUUGGGAAAUAUUUGAACGCAUGUCGUGAUAGGGAUAGAUCAUUGCAAUUAUUGAUCUUGAACGAGGAAUUCCUAGUAAACGCGAGUCAUCAGCUCGCAUUGAUUACGUCCCUGCCCUUUGUACACACCGCCCGUCGCACCUACCGAUUGAAUGUUUCGGUGAAGAUUCCGGAUAGGACUUUUUUGAUUUAUUUCAAUUUUGUCUUAAAAGCUAUCUAAACCUCAACAUUUAGAGGAAGGUGAAGUCGUAACA
rnacentral:rRNA from 1 species